AUUGAACGCUGGCGGCAGGCCUAACACAUGCAAGUCGAACGGUAACAGGAAGCAGCUUGCUGCUUUGCUGACGAGUGGCGGACGGGUGAGUAAUGUCUGGGAAACUGCCCGAUGGAGGGGGAUAACUACUGGAAACGGUAGCUAAUACCGCAUAACGUCGCAAGACCAAAGAGGGGGACCUUAGGGCCUCUUGCCAUCGGAUGUGCCCAGAUGGGAUUAGCUAGUAGGUGGGGUAACGGCUCACCUAGGCGACGAUCCCUAGCUGGUCUGAGAGGAUGACCAGCCACACUGGAACUGAGACACGGUCCAGACUCCUACGGGAGGCAGCAGUGGGGAAUAUUGCACAAUGGGCGCAAGCCUGAUGCAGCCAUGCCGCGUGUAUGAAGAAGGCCUUCGGGUUGUAAAGUACUUUCAGCGGGGAGGAAGGGAGUAAAGUUAAUACCUUUGCUCAUUGAUGUUACCCGCAGAAGAAGCACCGGCUAACUCCGUG
rnacentral:rRNA from 1 species